GAUACGAACGCAAGGAUAGAACGCUUGUCUUCUCCCUUCUCCUUCAUCUCACAACUUAAUACUCUCACUCGCUCCCAUAGGCAGAUACGCGCGAGCAUCCUCUUCCCUGGUCGCCCGAUAAGCUCAUGAGUGCGCUUCACGACAAGUUAGUGAGCAGCGAAGAGCUCGCGUGCGCGGUGCAGCGCAUCGUCUCCGUCUACGAACAUCAGCAGCAGAAUCUUCGUCACGCGAACCCGAUGGUGCGUGAGGCGUGCGUGCCCCGCGUGCUUGUCGCAGUCGCCGGCCGCCCAGGUAGUGGCAAGUCGACCAUCGUGGCGCUGUUGGCAGAUGCUGUUCGAGAGGCGCUGAGCGACCAACCCGAUCCCAUGGCGCCGUUCCGGAAGGUUGACAUCAAUGACGCAGAAAUCAACAGCAACGCCAGCGACGACCGUGCGGGCGCGGGCAGCGGCCGUGGCGUAGAGGUGUGCGUGAUGCCAAUGGACGGAUACCACCUCUAUCGCAAGGAGCUGCUGGCCAUGCCGAACGCGCAAGAGGCCGUGAAGCGCCGCGGCGCGGAGUGGACGUUCAACCCGAGCAAGUUGCGCGAUGACCUCGUCUCCAUCCGAACGCCGAAUGAGCGCGGCCUCUACGACGACGUCUUUGUUCCGUCUUUUGACCACGCCGUCGGCGACCCUCACGAGCGCGACAUUCGCAUCCCCGGCUCCGCCGGGGUCAUCAUUGUGGAGGGCAACUACGUUCUCUAUCGUGGCACGCCGGAGUGGGCCGCGGUGAACGACAUGUUUGAUGUGAAGCUCUUCCUGGCGUGCGACCGUGACGUGUGCACGGAGCGUCUCUGCCAGCGCCACAUGAAGGCCUGGGGCGUCUCUCGCAAGGAGGCGAUGGUGCGCGCGAGCGGCAGCGACACCAUCAACGGUGACUUGAUAGACACGACGAUGCCGCACUCAGAUGUCGUCAUGCACUCCAUCAACGCCUCCGAGAGCAAGCUGUGACUCCCUCUGUACUCCUUUUCCCUCCUCACAAACACAUUAAGAUUCUCCUCCACUCGUAUUGCCUGCGCGCUCGAAGGAUCUUAUCGUAACCGCGUAACUUGAUGUCAUGCGCUUGCCUUCUUCCUUUACCGUUGUUGUUGUUUCUUACUUGGCUCUUCCCUUCUCCAUCUAUCUAUCUCCUUUUUACCCUUCAAGACGCCCUCACCUCUUCUUUUACCUUCCCCCCCUUCCCGUUUCUGCAUGCUUGCAUCUGGCUGCGCGCGUGCUCUCUCUGGCUCUUUCGGCACCUCUUCGUUCCGUCUCAUGGUUUUCGGUUCCCGCGCGUUGUCUGUGCCCUUGGCCCUCUUGAAAGAAGACUAGCUUGCGCUCGAUGUCCCCCCCUUCCCUGCCUUGUCAAAGGACGCAGAGACACUCGCCAAGCACAGAUGCAAGCACGUGUGCUCUCCUACUCACGCAUGAUGGUGCUCAUCUCUUCUUGUCCAGCGGUUGUUGCCGUGUGGUGUGCGGCUGCAUUCUUGCUCUGCCCUCCCUCCCUCCCCCGCCCCUUCUCCUUUUUUUUGCGGUGUAUUCUUGCUUAGAGCGAGGAGACCCCCCCCCCAUUCCCACGCACCACCCCUCCUCAUCUCCCCUCCCCCUACCUCCCCGCUCCGCUGACUCUCAAUGCUUGUCUAUGCAGGAAAAUGUGCGGCGGUCCAUCCCUCUACUGCACACACGCGCGCAAACGUUCCCAAAUUUCGAUGGAGCUUUUAGUUCGAAGUUUUUUUUUAUCGCUCACCUGAAGAAGCGUCGCUGCGUGUGGUUGCGCUGCGACGCGUACGCGCAUGUGUGUGUGUGUGCGUGUGUGUGUGGAGCCAUCGCCAUAAGAGAGGCGCCCCUUUUCUCCCCCUUUUUUUGCCACCGUUGUUGUGGCCGACAGCAUUCGACUCUGAACGGGCUGCUUGAGCCGCUCCUCAUUCUUUAUCCAGCCCUUCCAUUCGUCCGUCUCUUCAUCUCUGGCACUUCGAUGCCACAGAGCGCACAGCCGCCGCAACGGGGUGAUUUUUCGAAGGGUGCGUGUAUGUCGUGUGCGUGCGUGUCUGGUGGCCGCUCUUUGCUGUGCGAUGUGCGCAGCUGAUGGCGCCGCUUGUCGCAGGUGGGUGCUUCGGCGAUGCUUCUUAGUGCAUGUGCACUGCAACAGGAUUCUAACGUACUCCCGCACGGCGCGUGCACACACACACACACAUGCAUACGUCCCACCUCAUGGACUCCACAAACUCGCGUUCUGGUGGUAAUUAUUCGUGGCUCAGUCACCGUCUUUGCGUGCGGCAUCUGU
rnacentral:misc_RNA from 1 species